CAGCAGUCGCCGCGGGAAUACGGAGGGUGCAAGCGUUAUCCGGAUUUAUUGGGUUUAAAGGGUCCGUAGGCGGAUCUGUAAGUCAGUGGUGAAAUCUCACAGCUUAACUGUGAAACUGCCAUUGAUACUGCAGGUCUUGAGUAAAUUUGAAGUGGCUGGAAUAAGUAGUGUAGCGGUGAAAUGCAUAGAUAUUACUUAGAACACCAAUUGCGAAGGCAGGUCACUAAGAUUUAACUGACGCUGAUGGACGAAAGCGUGGGGAGCGAACAGGAUUAGAUACCCGGGUAGUCCCUGUCUCUUAUAU
rnacentral:rRNA from 1 species